UACGAAGGGAGCUAGCGUUGUUCGGAAUCACUGGGCGUAAAGCGCACGUAGGCGGACUCUUAAGUCGGUGGUGAAAUCCUGGAGCUCAACUCCAGAACUGCCUUCGAUACUGGGAGUCUCGAGUCCGGGAGAGGUGAGUGGAACUGCGAGUGUAGAGGUGAAAUUCGUAGAUAUUCGCAAGAACACCAGUGGCGAAGGCGGCUCACUGGCCCGGUACUGACGCUGAGGUGCGAAAGCGUGGGGAGCAAACAGG
rnacentral:rRNA from 1 species